rnacentral:rRNA from 1 species
UACAGAGGGGGCAAGCGUUAUUCGGAAUUAUUGGGCGUAAAGGGCGCGUAGGCGGCCUGGCAAGUGGAAGGUGAAAUCCCUCGGCUUAACCGAGGAACUGCCCUCCAAACUGCUUGGCUUGAGUCCGGGAGAGGUGAGUGGAAUUCCCGGUGUAGCGGUGAAAUGCGCAGAUAUCGGGAAGAACACCCGUGGCGAAGGCGGCACUCUGGGACGGUACUGACGCUGAGACGCGAAAGCGUGGGGAGCGAACAGG